rfam:Ictidomys tridecemlineatus contig060071, whole genome shotgun sequence.
GGAGUUGUGGCUCAGCAGCAGAGCGCUCAUUUCAUACAUGUGAGGCACUGGGUUCGAUCCUCAGCACCA